rnacentral:lncRNA from 1 species
AAAGUUUAGACACAUAAAUUUUGAAGGUCUAGCUAUCCCAUAUUAUUACCCACAAGGGUAAAGGAACAGUAUCACUGCUGGAUAAUUGGAAAGUCCCUGUGUGUCAACCUCUGUGCUUCGUGGCAAGGUAGACUAGCAAACAUGCCCAACCUUUACUCACAUUCGAGAAAACACUCCCAACAAGAUUGCUUGCUCCAAAAUCGAAGAGGCACCGUCCUCCGAAUCUCGAGAGCCAGACUCCCAACAUGACUACUUUCUCAAAAAUCGAAAAGAGGGUAAAGGAACAGUACCAUUGCUGGAUAAUUGGAAAGUCCCUGUGUGUCAACCUCUGUGCUUCGUGGCAAGGUAAACUAGCAAACAUGACCAACCUUUACUCACAUUCGAGAAAACACUCCCAACAAGAUUGCUUGCUCUAAAAUCGAAGAGGCACCGCCCUCCGAAUCUCGAGAGCCAGACUCCCAACAUGAUUACCUUCUCAAAAAUCGAAGAGAUACCGCUCUCCGAAUCUCGAGAGCCAGACCCCCAGCAGGAUUGCUUUCUCAAAAAUCGAAGAGACAUCGUUCUCCGAAUCUCGAGAGCCAGAUCCCUGAUAGGAUUGCUUGUUCGAAAACCGAAGAGGCAACACUUUCCCAACUACAAGAGCCGGAUCUCCUUGGAUAAAGCUGUCUGUAAUCUUCACACGCAACAUCAGCUUUCCACAUACCACAGACCACUUUUUCAAAGUGCUCUGACAGGGUAAAGGAAUAGCAUUACUACUUGUUGUUAAGGAGACUCCUAUAUAUGUCAACCUCCAUCCCCAACGGACAGACAGACCUGCAAAAAUG